rnacentral:lncRNA from 1 species
ACAACUAACCCACAAGACAUCACUUCCAGUAUCUAUCUGUACAUAGAAUUCCUUUGGAGGGGAACCUAACUGAACUCUUGUAAAGUAAAGCCUGAAACAAAAUCAUAUCCUCAACUAACAUUCACUAUGAUGGAUAUAUAACUUGUAAAUCAAUCAUAAAACUACUCAAGAAAAUGAUUAACCUAAGUCAAUAGACCAGUAAAAGUAACAAUAAAACAAGAAAGAUAGGGUAUAACAUUCACUAUGCUAGAUGUAUAACUUGUAAAUCAAUCAUAAAACUACUCCAAAAAAUGAUUAACCUAAGCGAAUAGACCAGUAAAAGUAACAUUAAACCAAGAAAAUCGAAAGAUAGAGUAAACAACAAUCCAGAGGCAAUCAAUCCACCUUAAUACAUACUCAAGCUACAAACAACAACAAACCCACUAUAAUCAUACAAGUGGGUUCAGGGAGGGUACUGUGUAUGAUGUACAUAUGAAAACAGUAAUACACUACUAAAAAAACCCAAGAAACAAUCAAAGAAACAAGCUUUACCAAUUAUCAUUGCCGCCAAUCCAAGAAACUUUUUUCUCCAUUAAAUUCUUAAAAAAGAAACAAAAAGAGAGCUACCCAAUUUCCAAUAUAAACUUUACAUAAAGAAAGUAAUAACUAUUAAACAAAUUAUCAAUAAACUAAUUACCUUAUAAGCUAAACUUCAUGAAAUAGAUCAUCAAGAACAGUUGCUGAAGCUAAAAUCAUGUCAUCAUUCAACACUAUACAAAUAAAAUCAACACAAAAUAGAGAAGAAUUUGUACUAGUACC